UGAGCGCGGUGCCGGGGAGCUGGUCCCGCGGCCCCCGGGCGGGCGGCCGACCUGGUGGGUGUCCAGGCGCUGACUCCACACCUUCCUUUUUGCUCUGUGUUUCCAUGGGCGCAACUGGUGACGGUAAAGCCGUGGUUACGGGCAAGAUGUUGCUUUUAAAUCUUGAGCUCUUCUCGCCCUCGCCCCUCGGUGCUACGGUCCCGAGGGAGGCAGCGAAGGGCCCGGCCUUCCAAAGGCCCCGCUCGAGCUCUGUGCAGGGGGACAUGUGCUUCCAGAACGGAGCCAUUUCUCGGCACAUCGGUCUAUUUUUGCAGCAGAGCUGGCUGCCCUGUGCCAAAGUUUCUUACCACAAAUAGAACUUCUGGAAGGGCUUCCUGGUUUCCUCUCGGCUUUCAGACACCUCUUCACAUUUCAUUUGGCUUCCCUUCCGUGGCCCCAGAAGGGAAUAUUUGGAGUCUCUUCUGUUUUGAUUUGCAGGCACCUCUUGAGACUCCCUCCGGGGAAGCCUCUGGGGGUGGUAGCAAGCCCCAGGGGAAGCCAGAGAGCCAGUGUGGAUCCCAGACUGUAGGCUCUCCGCCCCCGGGGGCAGGUGAUAACAGACAAAGCACAGGUGCCCACUCCCAGCGUCCCUGUCCCCUCAGAUCCCUGCCCUCCCAGCCACCUCUGGCCCCCACCUGUCAUUUGACACAGGAUUUGAGAGCUCACUGCACGAAGUGUCACAGAACUCCAGUGAUCUACAGCCGAGCUUUCCCAAGACCAGUGGCUCCCAGACCUGAGCAAACACCAGAAAUAGCCAGAGGGCCUGUUUCCAGACAGCUGGGCCCCACCCCUGGAGUCUGUGACUCAGUGGGACUGGGGGUGAGGUCCAGGAAUUUGCAUCUCUAAUAAGCUCUCAGGUGGUGCCUACGCAGCAGCCAGCAGCUGGGAACACACAGCUUCAAAGACCAAGGUGCGCCUUGUAGCUCUGGAGCCGCACCUAGGGCUUCGGACCUGAAAUGACUGGCUGGCUCACUAGGCAGGUGGGCCUUUCGGACACUUUGAUGCUCAGAAAAAUCGGAAAUUGAUGCGGACAUACAUAUCCAGAACUGUUAUGAUGCUCUGCUCCCUGACGCUGUAAUCCCCCUCUGGAAGCUGUCCCUUAAGGAAUUGUGAUUAUCUUCUCUAAAACAUUUCAAACUUAAAUGACCCUCUCAGCGUUCGUGAAUGUUUCCAACAGGGACAGCCACUCCAAGAGCUUUACUCGAGUUCAGGUUCGCGGCCUGGCUGAGACCAAGGGGGCCUGAGACAGAGAUGGGCGAGCGGCAGAAGACAGACUGAGCCACUCUCACCGGGGACAGGACAGCUUGCAGGCCAGGGUGGCUCACAACCCGGGGAAACACGAACUGGCCUCCAGGUAUUCUAUUUCCCCUCCUCGACAAAAUCGGACACAUCAAUUUACCCCAUGAAUCAUUUGGGGGAAAAAAAAGAUUUCAGUCGAAGUCAUGAAACUUAAGUCAUGAGAUUAAAAAAAAAA